rnacentral:rRNA from 1 species
UACAGAGGUCUCAAGCGUUUGUUCGGAUUCAUUGGGCGUAAAGGGUGCGUAGGCGGCGCGGUAAGUCGGGUGUGAAAUCUCGGGGCUUAACUCCGAAACUGCAUUCGAUACUGCCGUGCUUGAGGACUGGAGAGGAGACUGGAAUUCAUGGUGUAGCAGUGAAAUGCGUAGAGAUCAUGAGGAAGACCAGUGGCGAAGGCGGGUCUCUGGACAGUUCCUGACACUGAGGCACGAAGGCCAGGGGAGCAAACGGG